UGGCUAAUCUCGCCAGCCACGGGCUGGCCUCGGCCACCCCUCCCCUCUCCUCUCCUUUCUUUGUUCAGGCACGCCGCUCGGUAACCGCGGGCCUUGGGGAUGGAGACUCGGCUUCCCAGCCUAUCCGUGGGCCACCGCUAGGCGAUCGGAGCAGCUGCUACUAAAGUGCCAGACCCCCACCACCCCAUCUACCAGCUGAUCUACGUUCCACCUUCCUCAAGGCGCACAACUGUCUCCAAUCAGCCCUCGUCACCACCUACAUAUAAGCCUGCCUGUUCCCGGAAAUCCUCGCCAAAGUAUUGCAGUUACUUCCAGCGUGUUUUCCCCCCGUGUUCCUGAUCCACGUCAUUCCUGCCGCCAAGCCAGCUGCUAUGUCCUCACCACUGCCUGCCACCUGUCUGCGCCACUGCCUGCCAACCCACCUAGGACCACCUCCAUUACCUUUCCUAAAUAAAC